UAAUUUUAUUUUUCAUUUUCAAAAUUUUCAAUUCUUCCAUUCUUCCCUCACCUCAGCUCUACCGGAAACACCGCCCUUCUUCUUCUUCUUCUUCGAUCUUCCUCUCAACUUUGUUCACCUUCCCAUCUACAUUGUUCAUCUUCCUCUCUACUUUGUUCAACUCUGGGUUUUUUCUCUCUCCUCUGCUUCUCAGUCAUUCUCCUCUACUCCUCUUAUCUGGUGCGGUAGAAAAAUAUUUCACAAGCAGACCUAACUUGCCGUAAUUCAACCACGGAGACCUAGGUUGCCGAGAUUUCACAAGCAAACCUAGCACGACGGCACCAUUACCUUCUCUUGCCGGGAUUUUGAUUUGUAAUUAAGUUUAAGAAAUUAGGGUUUUUGAAGAAUUUCGGGAUUUGGGAGUUCGGGCGUUUCGUAUCGGCGGCAAAGCACUACUCGGAACCACUCCACAGCAGCAGCGGAGUGACGGACGAUAGCCCGCGGUGGUGGUUGACGGAGCUUGCUAGGAUGAUUGGUGAAUGGUGGUUCCUUCAAUGUCAGAAAUUAAAGCCAUGGUUGCUGACAUGCUAGACUUGCGUUUCGCGGAUGAUUCUUUUGAUGUGGUUAUUGAGAAAGGAACAAUGUGGUGAUCCGUGGAACCCAAAACCUGAAACCGUAAGCAAGGUAACGACAAUGCUUCAAGGCAUCAUCGGGUCUUGAAGCCAGAUGGUAUCUGCAUAUCAAUUUCUUUUGGGCAGCCACACUUCAGGCGUCCGUUAUUUGAAGCUCCUAAUUUUACAUGGUCUAUGAAAUGGAGUACCUUUGGUGAUGGAUUCCAUUAUUUCUUCUACACUCUAAAGAAG